GACGAACGCUGGCGGCGUGCCUAACACAUGCAAGUCGAACGGGGUUGCCCUUCGGGUAACUUAGUGGCGAACGGGUGAGUAACGCGUGAGAAACCUGCCUCUCAGUGGGGGACAACAGUAGGAAACGACUGCUAAUACCGCAUAACACUUUAGUACCGCAUGGUACAGAAGUCAAAGCUUUAUGUGCUGAGAGAUGGUCUCGCGUCUGAUUAGCUAGUUGGCGGGGUAACGGCCCACCAAGGCGACGAUCAGUAGCCGGUCUGAGAGGAUGAGCGGCCACAUUGGGACUGAGAUACGGCCCAGACUCCUACGGGAGGCAGCAGUGGGGAAUAUUGGGCAAUGGGCGCAAGCCUGAUGCAGCGACGCCGCGUGAGGGAUGACGGCCUUCGGGUUGUAAACCUCUUUCAGCACCGACGAAGCGCAAGUGACGGUAGGUGCAGAAGAAGGACCGGCCAACUACGUGCCAGCAGCCGCGGUAAAAC
rnacentral:rRNA from 1 species